ACUGGAAUGAACGGCUAAAUGAGGACUAAACUGUCUCUUGCGAGCUAGUCAAUGAAAUUGAUUUUCCAGUACAAAAGCUGGAAUAGACCCAUAAGACGAAAAGACCCUGUGGAGCUUAAAAACCAGAUUCAUUAAGAAUGUUUCCUCGGAUUUUCAGUUGGGGCGACUUCGGAGUACAAAAAAACCUCCGAAAAAUAUAAACUUGUAUUAAGAUCAACACACCAAAAAUAACAUAUAGACCCAGCAAUUUUUACAAAUAUGUCUGACCAAUGAACCAAGUUACCCCAGGGAUAACAGCGCCAUCCCCUUUUAGAGUCCCUAUCGACAAGGGGGUUUACGACCUCGAUGUUGGAUCAGGACACCCCAAUGGUGCAGCCGCCAUUAAAG
rnacentral:rRNA from 1 species